AGUUGGAACUGGAGUCUGGGCACGAAAUCCUCAAUAUCGAGCAGAAGGAGAAACGUGUGUGGAGUUUAAAGCCAUGUUGAUUGCAGUGGGCAUCCACUUGCUCUUGUUGAUGUUUGAAGUUCUGGUCUGUGACAGAAUCGAGAGAGGAAGCCAUUUCUGGCUCCUGGUCUUCAUGCCGCUGUUCUUUGUUUCCCCGGUGUCUGUUGCAGCUUGCGUUUGGGGCUUUCGACAUGACAGGUCACUAGAGGUGAGAUUUCAUAUAUUUAAGAAUGUUUUCCACUUUGGGAGGUCAAGGCAGGUGGAUCACUUGAGGUCAGGAGUUUGAGACCAGCCUGGCCAACAUGGUGAAACCCCAUCUCUACUAAUAAUACAAAAAUUAGCCGGGUGUGGUGGCAUGCGCCAGUAAUCCCAGCUUCUCCG
rnacentral:lncRNA from 10 species